AUGUUAGAAUACACUACGAUUUUGUACGUAUAGUUCAAAACUUUUUCUAGACAUCUACGUAGUGAAAAUAAAUAAAUUAAAAUAAUUUUAAUUUAUUCAUGUACUAGAUCAGAUUUGAAAACUAUAGUAAAGAUCUUGAUACGAAUAUGUAUCCAUGAUCUGAUAUCUAAAAUAGAAAAAUAAAUUGUUAGAAAAAUAAAAUAGAGAUUGAAUCUCCAUAUUCCAGAUCCUGUGGU
rnacentral:lncRNA from 1 species